AGAGCGAACGCUGGCGGCGUGCUUAACACAUGCAAGUCGAACGUGAACGGGAGCAAUCCUUAGUAAAGUGGCGUACGGGUGAGUAACACGUAGGUAAUCUACCUUACAGUUUGGAAUAACCGGCCGAAAGGCUGGCUAAUACUGGAUAGAGCGACGGAAGUCAUAACGACUUUUUCGGGAAAGGGAGCUCGAUAAGAGCCUUCGCUGUAAGAUGAGCCUGCGUCUGAUUAGUUAGUUGGUGAGGUAAUGGCUCACCAAGACGAUGAUCAGUAGCUGGUCUGAGAGGAUGAUCAGCCACACUGGAACUGAAACACGGUCCAGACCUCCGUACGGGAGCAGCAGGUGGGAAUCGUUGCGACGAAGUAGGACGAAAGUCUAGACGCAGCCACGCCGCGUGAGUGAAGUAAGGCCGUUACGGUUGUAA
rnacentral:rRNA from 1 species